AUUGACAGGCUGCUCAGAGAGUAGGAAAUGUAGGUGUUCUGGGAUCAAAACAGGCAGUCUUUAAUUGUUAAAACAUCCUUAUUACCCAACACGGUGGCGUAGUCCUGAAUUAGACAGCAUGGCACAAAAUUGUUUGAUUGCAAGCAUGCCUAAUGUGAUCUACGGGGGGCUUCAAAAGCCCCUGCCAGCUUCAAGGUAGCCCCUGAAUCACCAGGAUUUUCUUGAUCUGCUCACUGCACCAGUCAGACAAGCCAGGCCCCACCAUUAGGAAGUCUCAUGCAGCGGAGAGAUGAGUUGUUCUUCCCUUUCCCAUUCCCUUUGCCAGUGAUUUCCCUCCCUCUCUUGUUCUUCUCUCUACCUACUCUGCAACUGCAGAGCCUUGGAGGUAUAACCACAUACCCUGACACUUUUUCUGGCUGUCCUAUUUAUUUGUAUUAGACCAGAUGUAUGGCCUUGGAGUGAAGGACACUAUUAGGUUGUGCCUGCAGACUCCCUCAUUUCCUAGACGUAUAGUGAGGAGCUGGCUGGUGAGACCCUGUAAUGCAGCUCCCACCACAGCAGAACAGACUGGAAGGCUGCAGAAACCUGCAGACAACAGGAUACAAAGGGAGCACAAAAACCUCUUUCUG
rnacentral:lncRNA from 1 species